AAGACUAUAGACCUGCGGAGUACCUGCGGAAGGAUCAUUAUCGUAUUGUAACAAUUGGGGGGGCCACCGUGGGCUGUCGCUGACCCUUUGAAAGGGGGGUCGUGCACGCCCCCAUAGUGUCAUCCUCAUACAAUCCAACUUACCUCUGUGCAUCACCGCGUGGGUUCCUUUCUGGGUCGAGUCAGACUGGCUCAGAAAAAAGGGGCUUGCGUUUUCCAUACAAAUACCCUUAUAAAUCCA
rnacentral:misc_RNA from 1 species